GUCUCGUUAUCUCAGUGGUAGAGCGUGGGAUUGCAGUUCCACAAGGACAAGUAAUUCAUCCUAAGGUCAGGCGAUCGAACCGCCUUCGGGACU
rfam:Microdochium bolleyi strain J235TASD1 unplaced genomic scaffold Micbo1qcscaffold_70, whole genome shotgun sequence.